rnacentral:rRNA from 1 species
GAUGAACGCUGGCGGCGUGCCUAAUACAUGCAAGUCGAGCGAACAGACGAGGAGCUUGCUCCUCUGACGUUAGCGGCGGACGGGUGAGUAACACGUGGAUAACCUACCUAUAAGACUGGGAUAACUUCGGGAAACCGGAGCUAAUACCGGAUAAUAUAUUGAACCGCAUGGUUCAAUAGUGAAAGACGGUUUUGCUGUCACUUAUAGAUGGAUCCGCGCCGCAUUAGCUAGUUGGUAAGGUAACGGCUUACCAAGGCAACGAUGCGUAGCCGACCUGAGAGGUGGCUCGGCCACCCGGGAACUGGAACGGGGUCCAGGCCCCUGAGGGAGGCCACAGAGGGGAACUUUCCGCAGGGGGGGAAAGUUUGACGGACGGAGCGCGGGUGUGAUGAAGAAGCUUUGGGUUCGGAAAGCCUUUUUUUUGGGGGAAAACAAAUUUGUAAGGAAAUUAAGCGUGUUUGACGGUACUUAAUAAAAAAGCCCCGGCUAACUACGG